UCGCAUCGAAUAAGUAAGUUCCUUUUAUUUUGGUUCCUUGAUUAUUCUCUCAAACUGUCCACAGGAAUCGUGGCAGCAUCAGUUGGUUUAUCCUUUUGCCAAAGUGCCGUUCGAUGGAGUUCGAGGACACAAUCACUGUCGGUUUUCGCGACGCUAUCGUAAGCAUUGAGCAGAUCAACAGUUAAGCGUUGGCGCCGACAGCAGGGAUGAGUGGAGCCACGAUUCGGGGAAAAUUCGCGGAUGUUGGACAGCACAUCCAGUGCAGCGCGUAGAGAUUUGAUGAGAUACAAAUCGUAUCUAUGAGACUUUGGUGUGGUCAAGUGAAAAUUAGAUUAUAGGGGCUUGAUAGAGGGAAACGCGUCUCCGUCCGCAAAGCUUGAUUUCACAUGUCGAUGCUGCACCACCCUGCCCAGAACAGAAGUCGGGAUUUUGCUGCGAUUUGCUGUGAGAGCAAUGAAGGGAAGAAUAACAUGGCGUGUGAAGCCGCGCUCUGAGGUGCACAUCUCCAAAACAAUACGAUAUCUGUGCUGGAUGACUCUAUUGCAGUGUUAUUUUAAUUUUUUAUGCGGGUCAGAGACUACUGGAGUCGCGAAAGAGAACUCGCUAACCGGGAGAUGUGGGGUAUUAGCGUUUCGCAAAAUAAGUGCUGCCUGUUCCGCAACUUUGCCCUAAGAUGGCAUGCCGUGUGUACCCCUUGUUGCGGAGACUGCAACUUUUACUGCCUCAUCCUUGGAGCAGGACUGAAUAUGUAACCGCAAAGAUAUAGAGAAGAAGAACGUGAAACUUAAACAAAUUCAGUACACCUAAUAUUAUACUGAACUUGACUGGACCACUGUAAGGUUCUAAAGAUUGUAAGAUAGGUAUUCAUCAACUCUGCAGAAGCGAAAUAGACCGACACAUAAGAACCAGAAGCGGUCGAAAAGUACUUCCCUGGGAAGUAGUGAAGGAUUUACUGCAGAGGGGCGUUAAGUUGUACGGACUGCGUCAGGAUUGUCAGGUUCUUUAUACCAUCUCGGCGUGACAGUACGUUCACAUAAGUCUAUCUACUCGGCAGGAACUGUGGAGAAAACAACGAUUACGAUAUUUAUCUUUUUCUUGACUUCAAUGAGACCUGCCACAGCUCAGAAGGCCCAGAAAACCAGGUGGCGGUGCCAGACUUUCAUUGCCCAUGAUGCACCAGGGCUCCAUCAAACCCUCCCUCUAGUCCUGGAUGGCUCAAGCGAUAGGCUACUUAAUGCUCGUGGACAAAGCUCCUUGCACAGAGAAAUCGGUGGUGCAUAUGCAGUCACGCAUGGCACAUGGGAAUGACAACUAACACAGCCAAACGUGUGAGAAGCUGGAGCUCUGCUGGAGCUCGGAAUAGGUGAUCAAUAACAUGGUAACGAGUAACCUCCAAUGGCAUCGACAUCUCGAUUCUUCCGAUGGACAGAGUGCGUUUUCACUGUUUAUAUUGGACAUCAAAAAUUGUAGAAAUAUCAGCUCACAUGGGUUGAGGCUGAACUUGCAAGUUGCAUCGACCAUUCCACUGCCCUCUUCUGCCUUACAAGACUUGCUAGUGAACGUAAAGAGGCGAAAACUCGACCCAAGUUACGAAUGUUACUCCCAAUGUUUUUUGGCUGUCGUUCGAAGUGACAACAACAUGGCUUCAGAAGUUCUUCUACACCGGAUCUGGAGGCGCAGAAGCGAAGCACAAGUUCAGUUACCACCAUGUCCAUGCAACCGCGAUCGCAUAACUCCGGAGAAACUGAGUUACAUGUUCUAAGCAAACCUUCAGGACUUCAAUUUCGGCAGCGCUGUAAAGACCUGGGCUAUCAUCAUUUUAAGAUGGCCACUGUGUUAACCCAUUUCAUGAGGAUUUUACUGGCGCGAGGCCACUCAAUGGUACACAACUAUCACAGUCGUCUUCCACCUGUGCGGAACUCAACCCUUGACUCGGAUCAUCGACCAAGCACAAUGCUCAAACUAGAACAUCAAAAUCUUUGAGUAUCCCGAAUCAGGCACUGUUGCAAGUCUUCAUUACAAAGGUCAAGCAUCAUUUGCUUUGAGUAGCACCUACUUCAAUUCGGUGGUUCGAAUUUCAGAGAAUUCUUUAUUCUUCGAAAUCAUCAGUUCUUGAUUGUGGAAGCUGCUGAGAAUAAGAACUGAACGAAGAAUCUAGUUGGGAGAAUGCGAGAAGGAGCACUUGACUCUGGGAAAAUCCGUAUAGAAAAUAAUCUGCCACGAGGGAGGAUUUUUUUUCUAAUCCUGCUGAACGUGUGGAGAUAAUAACCUGCUACAGGGAGAGGUCUUUUUGAACCUUCCUCUCAUUCAAACAGUGUAGUCUUUUGUCUCCCACCAAAAAAACAAAGUUUCUAGGACCACUUUUUCUACUAGUCAUGAGAGGAAUCCUUGGAAUCCCAUCACCUCCUUCACUCUGCAUAGUACAUUACAUUCUGUUUUGUGUUUUACAACACUCUACAGUUCUAAAUCAAAUACUUUGUUGCAUGAAUACAUACUACACAUACAUACAUUCCUAAUUUUUGAGUCUCAA